GCUUUUCUGUCUGUCAAUUUCAACCAGAAUUCUCUCCUCCCCACCUAACCAAGCCUGUGAAAGAUAAAAUACUUUCUUUCGAAAGUUGAAUGUUGUAUCUUUAUCUUUAAAAAGGAAACCCUAACAACUGAAAAACUGGUUCAGUAUCAAAUUCUUAUCCAUUUUCCCUCUUUCAUUCUUUUUAAGUAGUUGUGAUGUCACAAAUGCAACUCCAGUGUUCCACCAAAUGAUGUAGACUAAGAACUGAAACUGCUCUGCAAUUGCCCAAAUUAUAGUGAAUAUCAGAUAAAAGGUUUGCUAUCUCCUGCUGUCUAUUUUCAGGAGCCAUAAAUAACCCAGCACAAGCAGAGCUACCCCCUGCAAGCAACACGAUGCCUUCUGGAAGUCUGAAUAGGGGAAGAACAGUCUUGCCAUCUCAGUAAUGUUCUGAUUCAGCCAAUUUAUGGUGGGAACUGAGAUCCUUCAUUUCUAAGAAGCAACCAGGAGAUGCCAACUCUACAGGUCCAGGGCUCAGGUUUUGAGUGUGGGGCCUUUGCGAGGUGCUCAGGUCAUGAUGGCGGAGCCCACAUGAACGGGAUUUGUGCCCUAAAAAAGAAGCAUCACAGAGAUCCCUUGCCCCUUCUGCCAUGUGAGCACACAGCCAGAAGACAGCUAUCUUAGAACCAAGAAAUGGGCCUUCAUCAGACAUUGAAUUGGCAGGUGCCUUGAUCUUGGACUUCCUAGCCUCCAGAACUGUAAGAAAUAAAUCUUUGUUUUUUAAGUCACCCAGUCUAUGGUAUUUUUGUGGUAGCAGCCCAAGCUGACUAAGACAGGUAUAAAGAUUCAGGCAUUUCAGAUCAGUGCAGAAUAACUCCAGCUUGACUUUACUCUCUGCCCAAUUCUGAUUUCAUCCCCCUUAUCUUCAUAGGAGUUGAUCCCAAGGAUCUCCCUUAAUGCUCCUGCACACUGACUUCCUCUAGGAGUCUGUUUGCCAGAGACCUAACCUGACACAAUAGACACUGACAUCCUCGUCUUAGAGAUAAGGAAACAAAGGCUCAGAGAUGAUAAGUGACUCAUCCAAGGUUAGGCAGCUUGGCCAAAUUAUGGGUUGAGUCUUACCCAUUGCAAAUCCCAGUUCCUCUACCAUGGGACCCUCAUCUCUAUGGUCUGUCAGAUCCUUGAAAUGGAUUUUAUCUGUAUUUUGGGAGAUGCACUCAAAUAAAGCAGCUUAAGAUUCCCUUAAUUAUUUUCUAAAUAUUUGAUGCCAGUUAUUCUCCACCUUCACCCCAGGAAAUGCAAAGGAAACUGGUAAACACUUAACAUUGAUUGUCUUCAGGCAUGCUGCUCUAAAACUUACAUCAAAUUCAGAAUGCCAUUGUUCCUAGGACCCUUGGCUGCAAGGAGAGCGCAGAUAUUGAGAUUGAAGAGUCUGGGGCAGGGCCAAUGGCAGGCACAAACCAAGGAUUUAUUUAAGUCCAGGAUUCACAACAAAGGUCAGAGAUCGGGUAAAAGCAAACAAAAUGUCUGUGAGUGGAGCAAAAGUAGAGAGAGAUAGGGCAGAGGCAGGAGCAAACUCCAGAGACAGAGACAAAAGAAGGCAGAGAUAGAGACCCUCCUUCCUGUUCUCUAUCUGUGAGCCCUCAGACCUCACAGCUGUUGGCCAUGCUUCAGAAAAGAUCUGCUGUUACUACUGCUGGGCCAGUUUUCACUUCUCCAGCUAUGCUGCUUCAGCCCUUGGGGAUAAGAAAGUCUUUAGGGGCCAGCCCUGUGGCUAAGUGGUUAAGUUUGCGUGCUGUGCUGCUGCAGCCCAGGGUUUCGCUGGUUCAAAUCCUGGGUGCAGGCAUGGCACUGCUCGUCGGGCCACACUGAGGCGGUGUCCCACAUGCCUCAACUAGAAGGACCCACAACUAAAAGUAUGCAACUAUGUACCGGGGGGAUAUAGGGAGAAAAAGAAAAAAUAAAAUCUUUAAAAAAACAAAAAAAAGGAAGAAAGUCUUUAAAAGCCCCAUAUGGAGCAUGUUCUGUAGAUGUGAAUAGCUUUGAGUGUAUUGUGUUGUAUUGAGUCAAACCAAACACCAGCCACAACUCAAAUAUACUAUGAGUCUCCAUUACAAGAAUCAUUAUAGAUGAAGGAAUUUUAUAAGCCCAAUCUAUAGGCCCACUUUUUUUAAGUAUUAUUUGACAGUACACAUACCCAAUAGAACAAGAAAAAAAAUGAGAAUUCUUCCUUUGCAUUUGUUGUAAUGAGAUUUGAUCAAUUUUUCUAAAGAGAAGGAUGUGUUCACUGGGAUACUUGUCAAUUUGUUCUAGAGGAUUUUAAAUUGAAAAGAGUGAAAGACAAACAAAAAGAAGGGGAAUGCCCAGGUAAAACUCUAAGUAUGAAACCAGUGUUGAAUGUACCUAGUAAUUCACAGGAGAAAAUACUUCGGGAGGCAGUAAGACAUAGCACUUAGGUUCCUAGUUCUGUGACUACCAAUAUACCAAGCAUAUAAUUUGAUGUUCAUACAAGAAACCAACACCUCUCAUAGACGAUAUUGCAUCUUGGCAAAAUAAGAUUCACAAGUGGCAACUCUUAUGAAAUGCACUCUUGUGCAAAGGGAGUAGGACCCUGUGUCAAGAAGAUAUAUACCUUUCAGAAAACCGCAAAAUUAGGGAUGGGUAGAGAUAAAAGGAAAGAGUAUCAAAAUGAUAUCAAUAUUGGAGGGGAUAAGGUGGGUUUGAUGGUUGCUAAAACAGCCACUCCAGGCAGAAAGAAAGAGUAGAUCACAUGCUGACGUGGAUCACAAAUCUAGCGCAGAAACAGAGGCAAGACACAGAGCAAUGAAGGAUAUCUUAUCUAGAUAUCUCCAGGAAGUCAGUCUGCUAACAGUAAAGGAUUGAAUGCACCUUACUGACAACUUCAUCUUUUAGAAGGCAGAAAAAGUGAGGAAGGGAAUUACUGUUUAGGACAUGAUACUGGCAAAUAAGGAAAAUACUAGUUGGCAAAGCGGAAAUGAUAGAAUCCUCAAGAAAGAGGGAAAACCAGUAAGAGCAUUUUACAGUCUGUGAUAGCCAAAGCUUUGGACCUUGGGCAAAGCUAGAUAUUUGCCUAAACUAAAAGAAGACAGGUUUCCCAAGUUUCAGAGAGAAGAUGCAGUCAGAGUCUCAUGGCCAGAGACCGGGAACACAAAGAAGGACUCUAUGCUUGUAAACACACGGUUCUGAGAAUCUAAUCAUGAACGUGAGUGAGAGGCAGCUCAGGAAACCAUUUGGCAGCUCAAUCAGCUCUCAGAUAAACAGAGACAUUUCAAAGGUGUCCUUUAUAAAGAAUGGAAGUUCCAACAUGGAACCACAAACAAACGAAAACUAAUACCAAGGGAAUAAAGCAAAGCUUGUGAAAAUUGCCAAGGAAGAUGAAAAUAGGUUUUCUAAAGGUAUGAAGGGAGCAAUAGACAGAUUUAGGGACAAUACUGAGAAGUCAGCAGAAGAGAGGCAGGAAGCAAAACUUCUCAAGUCUUUUUUCUGCUGUAGCAGACCUCUGUUUCUUUGUCCCACAUCACCUGAGGUUGUAAUGUGCCUGGAAGCCACAGUGCCCAGCCUGCCCUGGCCAUGGCCAUGAACACAUGAUCAAGUAGAUCCAGUCAGAUCCUCCGUAUGAGAUUUGAUACAUGGAUUCUGAGAAAGAAAGCAUUUCUCUUCCGUUUGGAUUUGUACCAAACCCAGUAGCUAUCUUUUUUACCAUGUGGAGAGUCCAUCCACAAAAAGAAUCAGAGCUCAGAUAUGGCAAGAAAUCUAGGCUCUUGAUGACUUCCUCUGAAUCCCUUAAUCCAGUCAUGACUGAGGCAAGCCUUUCCUCUGAAUCCCUCAGCUAUGUGAGCCAACGUAUUCCUUUUUAUCAUAAGAAAGUUUAAAUUGGGUUUAUUGUAUUGUAAUGAAGAGAGUCCUGACUAAUACAUUGGUUGAGAAGGUUAACUGUCAGAUGACAAAGGAGAAAGCAAAUAUUAGGAGGCAGAAUUAAAUUCCAAGCUAGGUAAGUAGGUUGAAGAAAAUAUACCUUCAAAGGAUUUUGGUUCCAUUCCAUAAAACCCAAAGAAGGCUCAGAUGAUAUCAGUGAACUGUAAAUAGUCAUCUUUGAAGAGGUAAGGGGAACAGAAGUCUUGCUGGCAGAUGGGAAAAGGGCAAAUAAAUGUUUCCAUUUUCAAAAAGGUGAAAGAAGUUAAAUUCUUUAAACUAUAUGCCAAAGAGAUUAGAAAGAUCCUAAGCAAAAUGUUAAAGUAUAAAAGGUGGGUAAAUACUUCGGAAGCAAAGAGGUGAUCAUUAGGGACCAAUACAGAUUCAUGAAGUUCAACUCGUGCUGGGAUUAUAUCAUUUCCUUUUAGAAAUACAUUUACCAGAGAAGCUGACGGGGACUAUUCAUUAUGCCAGGUACUGUGUGAGGCACUACUCUGGAUAUAGUAGAGUGUUAUGUGUGAUGGUCGUAGUCAUAAUUGGUUUACCUUGUUAAUUACAAUAAUAUCUACUGUGUAUUGACAAUCUAAUAUGUUCCAGAAUAUAUACACAUGUACAUGCAUACGUGCACUGAAAAAUACACACGUAUACACAUACGUACACAUACAUAUAAUAUACAUAAACAUGUGCACACAUAUACAUACAUGCAUGCAUACAUAUACACAUAAACACGUGCAUAUGCACACAACACACCUACAGACAUAAUAUACACAGGCAUACACAAAUGCAUGUAAACAUGUCACACAUAUGCACACAUACACUCAAAAACACGUUUACACAAAUAAAUACAUAGACACAGCAUACACAUGCAUAUAUGUAUACACACUUAUAUAUAUACAUGCACACACCAGAACAAAAAUCUAAUGUGGGCAAUGAAGAUCCCUAUGAUACAGAGAAAAUUGCAGUGAGGCAGUUUGUCCAAGGUCACAUUUUUGUAACAGCAAAACAUGGAUUUGAACCUAGGAUUAUCUGAUUCUCAAAUUAAUAUUCUUUGUCAACAAAGGGUAUCUAUGUACACUGUAAAAUACAAAAAAAUGCUAACUAAAAGAGGAGUGGCAAGCUGAGGAGAGAUCUAAAAUUUUAUCUUUGGUCUCUUCCACUUUCAAAAAUUUUAAUGAGAAUAGAGAGCAUUACAAUCAAAUUUGAAAACAAUUCAGAAAUAUAUGUAAUACAUUGUUGAAAAAAUAGGAAUCUGUGCUGAAAAUAAGAAGAAGAAAUAUAAUAGGGAUAAAAUGAGUUCUCAGACACAGGCUAUGCAACAACAUAAAUACCUCAAGGGGAAUUUUACUGGACUGUGAGCUCCAGGAAUUAACAGUGGGAAGUUGCUGCUGAAAGAAUGAACUCAUCCCUGGGCUGCAUUAGCAGUGGUAUGACGUUCAGGAGUAGGGAGGGAAUUUUCAUUUUUAACCCUAUGUGGACUAAAUUAACACACUGACACAUGCCCAGAGGAGACUUUAAUCCUAUCAUAGCCAGAUUAGAGAAAGAUGACCACUAUGUUUGACGAG
ensembl:lncRNA